UACGAAGGGGGCAAGCGUUGUUCGGAAUUACUGGGCGUAAAGGGCGCGUAGGCGGCCGGUCAAGUUAGAUGUGAAAGUCCUGGGCUCAACCUGGGGACUGCAUUUGAUACUGACUGGCUUGAAUCCGGGAGAGGAUAGCGGAAUUCCCAGUGUAGAGGUGAAAUUCGUAGAUAUUGGGAAGAACACCAGUGGCGAAGGCGGCUAUCUGGACCGGCAUUGACGCUGAGGCGCGAAAGCGUGGGGAGCAAACAGG
rnacentral:rRNA from 1 species